rnacentral:rRNA from 3 species
GACGAACGCUGGCGGCGUGCUUCAACACAUGCAAGUCGAACGAGACAAUUAAAAGCUUGCUUUUCAAACGUCCGAGUGGCAAACGGGUGAGUCAACGCGUAGACAACCUGCCGCAAAGAUGGGGACAACAGUUCCGAAAGGACUGCUAAUACCGAAUGUUCCUGGAAGUUCCCGCAUGGAAACUCCCAGCAAAGAUGGCCUCCUACUUGUAAGCGAUCCGCUUUGCGAUGGGUCCUGCGUCCUGAUUAGCUAGUUGGUGAGGUAACGGCCUACCAAGGCGACGAUCAGUAGCCGGUCCUGAGAGGAUGAACGGCCACAUUGGGACUGAGACACGGCCCAGACUCCCUACGGGAGGCAGCAGUGGGGAAUCCUUCCGCAAUGGGCGAAAGCCUGACGGAGCAACGCCGCGUGAGUGAAGAAGGUCCUUCGGAUCCGUAAAGCUCUGUUGCCGGGGACGAGUGUAGGCAAUGCAAACAGCAUUGUGUAAUGACGGUACCCGGCGAGGAAGCCACGGCUAACUACGUGCCAGCAGCCGCGGUAAUACGUAGGUGGCGAGCGUUGUCCGGAAUUAUUGGGCGUAAAGGGAGCGCAGGCGGGCGAGUAAGUCUUUCUUAAAAGUGCGGGGCUCAACCCCGUGAGGGGAGAGAAACUACUCAUCUUGAGUGCAGGAGAGGAAGGCGGAAUUCCUAGUGUAGCGGUGAAAUGCGUAGAUAUUAGGAAGAACACCAGUGGCGAAGGCGGCUUUCUGGACUGUAACUGACGCUGAGGCUCGAAAGCCAGGGGAGCGAACGGGAUUAGAUACCCCGGUAGUCCUGGCCGUAAACGAUGAAUGCUAGGUGUAGGGGGUAUCGACCCCUCCUGUGCCGGAGUUAACGCAAUAAGCAUUCCGCCUGGGGAGUACGGUAGCAAGACUGAAACUCAAAGGAAUUGACGGGGGCCCGCACAAGCGGUGGAGUAUGUGGUUUAAUUCGACGCAACGCGAAGAACUUACCAGGUCUUGACAUAGAGUGACAGACUUAGAGACAAGUCAUUCUCUUCGGAGACACGAGAACAGGGUGGUGCAUGGCUGUCGUCAGCUCGUGUCGUGAGAUGUUUGGGUUAGUUCCGCCACGAGCGCACGCCUAUUCUCUGUUGCCAGCACUGCGAUGGUGGGAACUCGAGGAGACGCGCCGACACGCCGAGGAGGCGGGAUAGUUAGUAGCAUCCCUA